rnacentral:rRNA from 1 species
CGGAUAUUGGGCGUAAGCGCGCGCAGGUGGUUUCUUAAGUCUGAUGUGAAAGCCCACGGCUCAACCGGGGAGGGGCAUUGGAAACUGGGAGACUUGAGUGCGGAAGAGGAAGGUGGAAUUCCCUGUGUAGCGGUGAAAUGCGUAGAGAUAUGGAGGAACACCAGUGGCGAAGGCGACUUUCUGGUCUGUAACUGACACUGAGGCGCGAAAGCGUGGGGAGCAAACAGGAUUAGAUACCCUGGUAGUCCACGCCGUAAACGAUGACUGCUAACUGUUGGAGAGGCUUCCGCCCUUUAGUGCUGAACUUAACGCAUUAAGCUCUCCGCCUGGGGAGUACGGCCGCAAGGCUGAAACUCAAAGGAAUUGACGGGGGCCCGCACAAGCGGGGGAGCAGGUGGUUUAAUUCAAAGCACCGCGAAAAACCUUACCAGGUCUUGACAUCCUCGGACUUCCCUAAAGAUAGAGGUUCUCCUUCGGGAGCAUAGUGACAGGUGCUGCAUGGUUGUCGUCAGCUCGUGUCGUGAGAUGUUGGGUUAAGUCCCGCAACGAGCGCAACCCUUGAUCUUAGUUGCCAUCAUU